rnacentral:tRNA from 1 species
GGUGGCUCAUUGGUACAGUGCAUGUUUUGCAUGCAUGAGACCCUGGGUUCAAAUCCUCAGCACCA